rfam:Salmo salar isolate Sally breed double haploid chromosome ssa01, whole genome shotgun sequence.
CCAAAGGCUAUUUUAAGAGCCAAAUCAUUCAUAAUAAAGGGCUAAUU